rnacentral:tRNA from 1 species
AGUUAAUGAGCUUUACAAAGCAUGUAUUUUGAAAAUACAAGAUAGAAAUAUAUUCUAUUAACUU